rnacentral:lncRNA from 1 species
UUAAUCUCCCAGCAACUCUUUGUGUGGGAGGUGGGUGUAGGGGAGCGGAAAACCCUUCCUAGGCGCUUUCUUUGAGUUUCUCUUUAAAGAGCUUGCUUCUUCUGGACUCCUUGGUGUUCACCUGUGGCAGGUUUAACUCCCAGAGGGAUGUGCAUGUGCAUGUGUGAGUGUGUGUGUGUGUGUGUGUGUGUGUCUGCUCCAGGGUGCAGGUCUGUGCACGCUGCUGCACCUGGCUAGGAGCUGGAGGUCAGCGAGGCCAGAGGUGGAGAGGGUGCUGUUGGGAGCGGCUGGCCAGGCAUCUCUGUGUUUCAGAUGGAGCCUGGAUCCUCUGCCUGGAGAUUCUGGCGUGGGUCUUCACAAGUUGUCAGUGAGUUCCUGAUAGGGAGCAGAACAUAGGCAGUCUCUUUUCAGAGAUGUCUCCAGAGGUGAGAUAGCUGUGGGUCAUGGGAAUGGCAUUGAGGAGGCCUUGGCUAAGUCACCCAAUGCACCGGUACAGUUCCUGGGCGAGGGGCAGCAGUCUUCAGUACCCACCAGCAUCAGUAGCUUCUUGGGUACAGGGGCUGAGACAACGCCAGGGCCUUGGGGUCAGGGGUGAGACGUACCAGCUCAGAGCCCCAGUGGUCACCUGGCACAGAAUGGUGUGGGGCUUGCUGGUCUUGUUCCCCCAGUAGCCUCUCCACGCAGGAUGGUGCAAAGCGUGGCCAGGAUGACCCCACAGAUGGCAGCAGCCACCUCCUUGGAGCACUGAACACCCAGACCGACGUGUCCAUUGUUGUCUCUGACAGCAGUGAAUGCCUUGAACCUGGUCCGCUGGCCGGCACAGGGCUGCUUUUUCACCAGCAGAGUCUUCAAAACCUCACCCUUGAGGGAUGUCCCCAGGAAAGAAUCAAGGACCUCAGAUUCCCUGAUGGGCAGGGAGAAGAGCUGGAGCUCCUCCAGGGACUUGGUUUUCAUGUCCCUGACCAGGCGGCCCAGCUUGCCACAUUUUUAUGGGAGGCAGAUUCCACACUACAAGUGAUUCUGAUGCAGGGUCGCUUCAUAGACAAGGAGACAGAGACCUCAGAGCUGGGUGUGUUGUCAGUCAAUAUUCCAACCUGGGUCUGUUGGCUUCGGAAGCCACUGAGUCACUCAGCCCUUUGUUGA